CCAGCACCCCGAGUGGUCGGGACGAUUAUUGGGCCUAAAGCAUCCGUAGCCGGUUUUACAAGUCCUCCGUUAAAUCCAACUGCUUAACAGAUGGGCCGCGGAGGAUACUAUAAGACUAGGAGGCAGGAGAGGCAAGCGGUACUCAGUGGGUAGGGGUAAAAUCCGUCGAUCCAUUGAAGACCACCAGUGGCGAAGGCGGCUUGCCAGAAUGCGCUCGACGGUGAGGGAUGAAAGCUGGGGGAGCAAACCGGAUUAGAUACCCGGGUAGUCCCAGCUGUAAACGAUGCAGACUCGGUGAUGGACUAGCUUUAUGCUAGUCCAGUGCCGCAGGGAAGCCGUUAAGUCUGCCGCCUGGGUAGUACGGUCGCAAGACUG
rnacentral:rRNA from 1 species